GGGAGUCCGGAGACGUCGGC
rnacentral:siRNA from 1 species